rnacentral:rRNA from 1 species
UGGGGAAUAUUGCACAAUGGGCGCAAGCCUGAUGCAGCCAUGCCGCGUGUGUGAAGAAGGCCUUCGGGUUGUAAAGCACUUUCAGCGAGGAGGAAGGUGGUGAGCUUAAUACGCUCAUCAAUUGACGUUACUCGCAGAAGAAGCACCGGCUAACUCCGUGCCAGCAGCCGCGGUAAUACGGAGGGUGCAAGCGUUAAUCGGAAUUACUGGGCGUAAAGCGCACGCAGGCGGUUUGUUAAGUCAGAUGUGAAAUCCCCGGGCUCAACCUGGGAACUGCAUUUGAAACUGGCAAGCUAGAGUCUCGUAGAGGGGGGUAGAAUUCCAGGUGUAGCGGUGAAAUGCGUAGAGAUCUGGAGGAAUACCGGUGGCGAAGGCGGCCCCCUGGACGAAGACUGACGCUCAGGUGCGAAAAGCGUGGGGAGCAAAACAGGAUUAGAUACCCUGGUAGUCCACGCUGUAAAACGAUGUCGAUUUUGGAGGUUGUGCCCCUUGAGGCGUGGCUUCCGGAGCUAACGCGUUAAAUCGACCGCCUGGGGAGUACGGCCCGCAAGAUUAAAAACUCAAAGGAAUUGACGGGGUCAUAGCUGUUUCCU